UCGCCGUCGCAACUUCAUCUGCUCUCUUAGCAACGCUCACGGCGCGUUUCGUGUUUUCGCCGCGCAUUCCAGUGUUGGCUGUUGAGCGGUUCGGUUGUGAGUUCGCUGUUGCUGCGGAAACAGUUCGCUAAGGCGCGUCUCCUGUUUCGAAAAGUAAAUAAAGAUCAGCAAACAGCCGUGAAUUUGUUAAUAAACCAACACGAAAUAUUACUGUGUGUAGAUUUGUAUAUAGUUCAAGCCAGCUAAAAUAGAAAUUGAAAUGAAAAAUCGACCCAAACAACAAGUGCGACAGGAAGCGCGCGCGUUGAAAUCGUAACGAAAACGAAAACAAAGUGCACACUAAAAAUAUAUUGUUGUAUGUAUAUGAAUGUGUAUGUGAAAUUCCAUUUAUUUGCUAAUUGGAAAUUGUAUAGCUAUUGAUAGCCAAUAAAAUCAGUCACUUAAUUGUGCUAAUUGAAAAGAAAGUGGGAAAUAUAGAAAACCUAUAUACGUUCAGAUAUUAGUAAAAAGCAAUAAUACAAAUUUCAAUACGAGCGUGUUGCGGCAGAGCACUUACAGAUGUGUUGCUGACCAUAUUUCCCAAUUGGUAUCGGCCCAAAUUUUGUUUUUGGUCGCGCUCAUUGCAAUAAUUGCAAAAUGGAAACGUGAAGCGAAAACAAAAUACGCAAAUCACUAAAACUAUU